GUGUUUUCUAGUCUAGUUUUUAUUCAUUCUGUAUCCUAUUUCAUGUUUUAUUCUGUUUAAGAGUGCUUCUGUAACGUUCAUUUUCUGCUAACACCUUGUUUGAUGGUGGUCACUAUACAAAUGAUUUCUGUAUAUUGCUCGUUUCAUAUUUGUUUGUUUCAUAGUAUUUGGUCGUUUCAUAUGAUAACUACCUGGGAAUAAUGAGUGUUAAUGAGUGUUUCAUUUGUGUAUGAAUCCCUCGAGCGGUAAACCGAGGGAAGGUAGCUCAGGGAGGAAGGUCAAGCCGGCACUCUAUCUGUGGUAUAGCAGCCGCACACACCUUGUUGGAUUUAAACCUGUGGAUUUAUUCCCUGUGAGCGCCAGAGAUUGUUGGACCGUUCAUCCUCACGUUCAUCCUCACGUUCACCCUUACGUUCACCAUAUGGGACAAGUAAACACGCACAAGAAUGAACGAGUGUCAAUAACCUGGCGUAAUAAUAUACCAAGAGGAAAUACCCUUGUCUAACGCCCCUGAUGAGGCCUCCUGUGGGUCGCGGCGCCCUCUGCAGCCUCGUCAAUGGGGCUGAGUCACGAGGGAACACUGUUUUUGUGGUGGCGUGCAGUGGUGCGGUGAUUUUGAGAAGAGGAGGAGGAGGAGGAGGAGGAGGGAACAAAACAAGAACAAGAGGGACAACAACAACAACAACAACAACAAGACUAGCAUGUUUCGAGCAGGGGAAAGUGACGUAUAUCUGGCAUCCAUCAGCCCUAAUGUAGAUGUCACGAGCCUCACCCGCGCCCAGAAGUAACCAAUUUAUGACUCCAGAAGAAAAAAGUUAAGACUUGGGAAACCGGACGUAAAGGCGAGAGAAGAAAGCAGAGGACGGGAGGGUCACGCUGCCGCCUCUCGCCGCCUCUAGCCGCCUCGCCGCGCCCCUCCAGCACCUGCCAGCCUGUGUCCAUCCUCCCGAGCCUAGUGAAAGUGGCAAGUCGGGUUGGGGCGUGCUUCUCGGCCCCGGCACGCCCCGCCCCUGCUGUUAUAGUGCAGGGGCGGAGACACCUGUAGUAUGCCGCACUCUCCCCGGGGCGAAGGAGAGAGGCGCGAGGCGGGGCUGAGGGCGGGACGAACGCAAGGUAAAGGUGACGUGUUUACCUCCUAGAUGAUAUUGAUGAGACGACCCUGGCGCCACGAGAACACGAUCCACACGACACGAUCCACACGACCAGUGGACACCCGCAUAACCACAUCUGAUCCACCAGACACCUGUAUAUGGUCAAUAAACUAUCUAUCUAUCUAUCUAUGAGACACCUGACAUCACUGGCCACCUCCACAACCACACUUGACAUCGCCAGACACCCCCAACAGCCGCGCUUCACGUCUCUUUGCAUACCUGGCUCCCACAAUGCAUUCCUGACGCCUCCACUACCGGCAGAUUUUUAAAGUGAAAUGAUUCAACGCCCAUGAAAAAGGUGGAGUAAAAAUGAUGAAGUAGUGGAGCUGUCAAUGUGAAGUGCUGAUAAAGGUGAAAGUCAGAAACAGGAAAGUGGAAGAAAAGUAAGUAAAAAUA